GACGAACGCUGGCGGCGUGCUUAACACAUGCAGGUCGAACGGAAAGGCCUGCUUUCCCUUGUGGAUUGCGGGUACUCGAGUGGCGAACGGGUGAGUAACACGUGAGUGAUCUGCCCCCAGCUUGGGUAUAAGCCUAGGAAACUGGGUCUAAUUCCCGAUAGGACUGCAGGGUGGUGCCUGUGGUGGAAAACGAUUUUCUAGUGGUUGGGGAUGAGCUCGCGGCCUAUCAGCUUGUUGGUGGGGUAAUGGCCUACCAAGGCGGCGACGGGUAGCCGGCCUGAGAGGGUGGACGGCCACAUUGGGACUGAGAUACGGCCCAGACUCCUACGGGAGGCAGCAGUGGGGAAUAUUGCACAAUGGGCGGAAGCCUGAUGCAGCGACGCCGCGUGGGGGAUGACGGCCUUCGGGUUGUAAACUCCUUUCGACCGCGAGGAAGCCACCUGGUUGGAAGGGUGGUGACGGUAGUGGUAGAAGAAGCACCGGCUAACUACGUG
rnacentral:rRNA from 1 species